CAACUUUCAACAACGGAUCUCUUGGCUCUCGCAUCGAUGAAGAACGCAGCGAAAUGCGAUAAGUAAUGUGAAUUGCAGAAUUCAGUGAAUCAUCGAAUCUUUGAACGCACCUUGCGCUCCUUGGUAUUCCGAGGAGCAUGCCUGUUUGAGUGUCAUGAAAUUCUCAAC
rnacentral:rRNA from 1 species